rnacentral:lncRNA from 1 species
AUGCUGACGCAUGCCAGCUACCGAAACGCGAGGAGGUUGCUUCCUCAAACUGACACGCGGCUACCUUGUAGAAGAGUGCUCACCUCAGGAGCAAAGAGUGGUGUCAAGGAAAACAGCUGCAUCCUCCAUCUGUACAGCAGCUGCAGUGCUUCCGAUGUCUUCCAACACGUGAAGACAAAACAGAUCUUCACAUCUCCCCAGCCAACUGCUUACGACUGUACCUGUUCCACUCCAGAAGCAAUGCUUUCAACAUAACUAUGAAUCCUACCCGUUCAUUUUGUGGUCUGCAAAUUGAACUUGGAUGUAACUUAUCCAGCAUUAUAGUGCUGGUGCAUUGGUUAAAAAUAAAGUUGGCUUUGACUAUUGCUGUUUCACUGAACUAUUUUUGUAUGUAUAUACCUAAUGAGGGAAAACAGACAAAUGUUUUAUAA